rnacentral:rRNA from 1 species
GACGAACGCUGGCGGCGUGCCUAAUACAUGCAAGUAGAACGCUGAAGAGAGGAGCUUGCUCUUCUUGGAUGAGUUGCGAACGGGUGAGUAACGCGUAGGUAACCUGCCUUGUAGCGGGGGAUAACUAUUGGAAACGAUAGCUAAUACCGCAUAACAAUGGAUGACACAUGUCAUUUAUUUGAAAGGGGCAAUUGCUCCACUACAAGAUGGACCUGCGUUGUAUUAGCUAGUAGGUGAGGUAAUGGCUCACCUAGGCGACGAUACAUAGCCGACCUGGGAGGGUGAUCGGCCACACUGGGACUGAGACACGGCCCAGACUCCUACGGGAGGCAGCAGUAGGGAAUCUUCGGCAAUGGGGGCAACCCUGACCGAGCAACGCCGCGUGAGUGAAGAAGGUUUUCGGAUCGUAAAGCUCUGUUGUAAGUCAAGAACGGGUGUGAGAGUGGAAAGUUCACACUGUGACGGUAGCUUACCAGAAAGGGACGGCUAACUACGUGCCAGCAGCCGCGGUAAUACGUAGGUCCCGAGCGUUGUCCGGAUUUAUUGGGCGUAAAGCGAGCGCAGGCGGUUUGAUAAGUCUGAAGUUAAAGGCUGUGGCUCAACCAUAGUUCGCUUUGGAAACUGUCAAACUUGAGUGCAGAAGGGGAGAGUGGAAUUCCAUGUGUAGCGGUGAAAUGCGUAGAUAUAUGGAGGAACACCGGUGGCGAAAGCGGCUCUCUGGUCUGUAACUGACGCUGAGGCUCGAAAGCGUGGGGAGCGAACAGGAUUAGAUACCCUGGUAGUCCACGCCGUAAACGAUGAGUGCUAGGUGUUGGAUCCUUUCCGGGAUUCAGUGCCGCAGCUAACGCAUUAAGCACUCCGCCUGGGGAGUACGACCGCAAGGUUGAAACUCAAAGGAAUUGACGGGGGCCCGCACAAGCGGUGGAGCAUGUGGUUUAAUUCGAAGCAACGCGAAGAACCUUACCAGGUCUUGACAUCCCGAUGCUAUUUCUAGAGAUAGAAAGUUACUUCGGUACAUCGGUGACAGGUGGUGCAUGGUUGUCGUCAGCUCGUGUCGUGAGAUGUUGGGUUAAGUCCCGCAACGAGCGCAACCCCUAUUGUUAGUUGCCAUCAUUCAGUUGGGCACUCUAGCGAGACUGCCGGUAAUAAACCGGAGGAAGGUGGGGAUGACGUCAAAUCAUCAUGCCCCUUAUGACCUGGGCUACACACGUGCUACAAUGGUUGGUACAACGAGUUGCGAGUCGGUGACGGCGAGCUAAUCUCUUAAAGCCAAUCUCAGUUCGGAUUGUAGGCUGCAACUCGCCUACAUGAAGUCGGAAUCGCUAGUAAUCGCGGAUCAGCACGCCGCGGUGAAUACGUUCCCGGGCCU